rnacentral:rRNA from 1 species
UACGUAGGGUGCAAGCGUUAAUCGGAAUUACUGGGCGUAAAGCGCACGUAGGCGGCUUUGUAAGUCAGAGGUGAAAGCCCGGAGCUUAACUCCGGAAUUGCCUUUGAGACUGCAUCGCUUGAAUCCGGGAGAGGUGAGUGGAAUUCCGAGUGUAGAGGUGGAAAUUCGUAAGAUAUUCGGAAGAACACCAGUGGCGAAGGCGGCCACACUGGACCGG